UACAGAGGUCUCAAGCGUUGUUCGGAAUCACUGGGCGUAAAGGGCGCGCAGGUGGUCAUGUAAGUCAAAUGUGAAAGACUGGGGCUCAACCUCAGAUUUGCAUGUGAUACUGCGUGACUUGAGAACUGAAGAGGGAUCUUGAAUUCACGGUGUAGCAGUGAAAUGCGUAGAUAUCGUGAGGAACACCAAAGGCGAAAGCAGGAUCCUGGUCAGCUUCUGACACUCAUGCACGAAGGCUAGGGGAGCAAACGGG
rnacentral:rRNA from 1 species